rnacentral:rRNA from 1 species
AUUGAACGCUGGCGGCAUGCCUUACACAUGCAAGUCGAACGGCAGCACGGGUGCUUGCACCUGGUGGCGAGUGGCGAACGGGUGAGUAAUACAUCGGAACAUGUCCUGUAGUGGGGGAUAGCCCGGCGAAAGCCGGAUUAAUACUGCAUACGAUCUACGGAUGACAGCGGGGGACCUUCGGGCCUCGCGCUAUAGGGUUGGCCGAUGGCUGAUUAGCUAGUUGGUGGGGUAAAGGCCUACCAAGGCGACGAUCAGUAGCUGGUCUGAGAGGACGACCAGCCACACUGGAACUGAGACACGGCCCAGACUCCUACGGGAGGCAGCAGUGGGGAAUUUUGGACAAUGGGCGAAAGCCUGAUCCAGCAAUGCCGCGUGUGUGAAGAAGGCCUUCGGGUUGUAAAGCACUUUUGUCCGGAAAGAAAUCCUUGGCCCUAAUACGGUCAGGGGAUGACGGUACCGGAAGAAUAAGCACCGGCUAACUACGUG